CGGAGGGUGCAAGCGUUGUCCGGAUUUAUUGGGUUUUAAAAGGGUGCGUAGGUGGGCUGUUAAGUCUGGUUUGAAAGUUGGUCGCUUAAACGAUCAAGGGUGGCUGGAUACUGGCGGUCUUGAAUGGGGUGGAGGUAGCCGGAAUGGGUUGUGUAGCGGUGAAAUGCAUAGAGAUGACCCGGAACACCGAUUGCGAAGGCAGGCUACUACGCCUUAAUUGACACUGAGGCACGAGAGCAUGGGGAGCAAACAGGAUU
rnacentral:rRNA from 1 species